ensembl:lncRNA
GAAAAAAACUGCUACUAGUGAGAGAAACUGGGAGUAAGAAGAAAUCAUUCUUUGACCAGUUUGUCUUGGCCUUCUAAUCCUGAUCCGAGUGCAGCGUGAAGCGAUCUCAGAAACAUUGGCAGUUGUCUGGGCUAACGUGUGGAAGACACGUGAAGAAUUGCUAGACUGGAAAGGUGAAAUCUGAAUGUAUAACUGUGUAUAAAUGGGGGAAAAAUGAACUGUAAAUUUAUAGACAAGUCAACUUCUCUUCAUAUCCUAGAAAAAAAGAUAACAAGGAGAAUGGCAGCAAGGAUGAAUUUGCCAAGGAGAUUCCUUGUCCAAUCAAUCUAAUUUUCUUCGUGAAAGAAUAAAAGGUUUUGUUGACAAAGAAGCAGCGAUAAUCAUACAUCAUGUUUUCACUGUCUUUUGACACUGCCUUACCCUACAUCUUGUAAGCAAACUGGGAAGAUUGUCAAAAGUAAAUUAUUGGAGAAGUGUGUGAAGUGGCACACUGA